UGACACUGUAUGACGCGACGGAUGUUUACGUCUGCAACUAAGCUAGCCGACAGAGCUGCAUGUGGGCUGCCUGUCUGUAAAUGAGAGGUUUCAAUUUACUAAAGAAUUAUGCCACUGGCCUGCUGCAGUUGAACCAUGUAGAGCUGCAAGAAGACCAAGUGUAGUGUCCAUGCAUAUCCCAACUUAAUUACCAUGGAGAUUUGAUUUAAAUUAGAAAGUACUUAAUGAAAAUGAGGCUGCUUAUAAACCAUGUGAAGAUCGAUGCCUAGAGGUGCAAGAACCAAGUCUACUACAUAUACAUGUAUAUGUUAUGUCCAUAUUUCAACUGGCCUUGAAGAGUCCAUUUAAAUAAGGGAAUAGUACAUGAUGUCAGCACCACGUGACUUUCCCUGUGUACUAUGCAACAAAAGAACCAAAUCCAGGGACAGACGUUUUCUCAUUAGUGACAGAAACAAAAAUUUAAGAAAAUAAAUAAAGAAAAACUUCUUAAUUGAAAAAAUAAA